CGGUUUAAUGUUUUCAUUUACUUAAAUGCUUUCAAUUAUGUCCGGUUGUGUUUAAUUUCCAUUCUAAUUUAGUCAUUUGUAUUCAAAACACUUUUCACAAACCCCCCACUACGUGUUAGACCUAAUUCCUGAACCCCAUUUGGUCCUUGAGAGACGACCUAGGAGUCACUUCCUAGCUAUACUGCAUUCCUUAUAUGCAAUCAAAUUUGAUUGGGCGGCGACACCCAUCACAUACUCAAUUAUAUCAUUCUAUUCCACAAUCAUGUUCUUUCAAAC
rnacentral:lncRNA from 1 species